rnacentral:rRNA from 1 species
UGGGGAAUAUUGCACAAUGGGCGCAAGCCUGAUGCAGCCAUGCCGCGUGUAUGAAGAAGGCCUUCGGGUUGUAAAGUACUUUCAGCGAGGAGGAAGGCGUUGUGGUUAAUAACCGCAACGAUUGACGUUACUCGCAGAAGAAGCACCGGCUAACUCCGUGCCAGAAGCCGCGGUAAUACGGAGGGUGCAAGCGUUAAUCGGAAUUACUGGGCGUAAAGCGCACGCAGGCGGUCUGUCAAGUCGGAUGUGAAAUCCCCGGGCUCAACCUGGGAACUGCAUCCGAAACUGGCAGGCUAGAGUCUUGUAGAGGGGGGUAGAAUUCCAGGUGUAGCGGUGAAAUGCGUAGAGAUCUGGAGGAAUACCGGUGGCGAAGGCGGCCCCCUGGACAAAGACUGACGCUCAGGUGCGAAAGCGUGGGGAGCAAACA